UCUCGGAGAGGUGAUUUUGGUCGGUGAAGAAAACUUCUCUCUUCCCCGAAGUCGACGAUGACCACGUGGACCACUUGUCCGUCGGUGGUCUCUACGGUGAUCUCUACGUCGUGACCUCUCUCUCAGUUAGAUGAUGGACCUGGAUUCUCCGCGAAGGAGGUAGGAGGAAAGAGCCGUUAUCGAUCGUGUUCGCGGUCUCCGGAACUAUACAUCUCAAAUUCUCAACGUAUCGUCUCACAUGAUGUUGAUGGGAUUCAGAUUAAGCCAAAGUCUAGACAUAUAUGGAUUGAUAGGAGGAGAUUACGAUGUUGGGCUUAUUGAUAUCACUAACAGAGCGCUGCGCCUGAUAUCAUUGUUUCUAGAUGUCAGCAUGAUAAGACGAUGUUGAUUGGAGCAGAUCCUUCUCAUGUUGAUGAUAGAAAAAAUUGCUUAGUGAUCAACCUCAACUUCUUCAGCAAUUUGGAUCUUCUUCCAGUUCUAGCGCAGAUUCAUGGUUCUAGCGUCAAUGGUAAAUGUCUCUCAGUUAUCGGAAAGUUGAUAGCACUUCAGAAAUGAUUCAGUCGCUAAUUGGUGACACAAAUAUAUCGUUUACUAUUAAAUUACUUCACGUGAUAGUGGGGUGCAACAUCUUAUAUCUUUUUCGUAUAUCCACAAGUCUUGGUCCAUGCUCUUCAAGUUGCAGAAAAUUCUGAUGGAAAAGCUUCCUGAAACGUUCUCUAAAGUUUUCGCAGAGGGAAUGGGUGGUUCAUGCUGUAGAUCAACUUGUCUUGGUUGG